AUGGCGGCGAUGCUAGAUGUGAGCGAGCGUUGUCCCGCGUUUCGCAUAACUUUUUCUUCUUCGAAGCGAAUUCUGCAUACAAUAAACGUCGAGAGAAUUGCAUUCAGGUACGAUUGAUCAUUGUGGAAUAUUAAUUCCAUGCGCACGAUCGUGAUUAUCUGUCUUUCGACAUUCGUAAAACUAAUCAUGUUCGUGACGUCAUGUCUCACAUCGCUUUGUCGAGCAUCGAUGUGAAGUCUUUCGUCUUUUGCAUUUUUUAAACGUAUCCCGGUACUAUCAUUCACGCCGAAUUGAUCAACGGAUAAUUGUCGUAAAGUAUCAAACAAUGUAUGUAGGCGCGAUUAUCCGGCAUUUGUAAAACCAGUCGUAUUUGUCGCGCCGUGUCGGAUAUUGUUCAUCGAAUUGUUAAGCAUCGGUGUUAAGUUGUCUCUUUUUGAAGUUGUCUCCGCGCAAAUUGCCGCUCGAAUUUACCUUUUUUGUAUCUUUCAUCACACCUCGGUAGAUGUCGACAAUGUCAAGAUUAUGAACAAAAAGCGUCUGACGUAGAGAUUAGCGCGCGUAAAUCGCUGGCUAAUCUAAUAUAACCUCUUUUCUGCAUUCAUAAACAAUAGUGCUUCGCGUCGUAUCAGGCAUUGCUCGCUACAUCUUGCGACAAGCAUUGGUGCCACGUCGUCUCCAUUUUCUGAACGUUUACAUGUAUUUCGGAAAUGACGGGAGUGUCGACAAAGUUACGCGCGAGUGUCGUGUUUUAUUUACUCGAAAGUGCAUUACGCAUAGAAGUGCGCGUCGGGAGUGUUGAAUGCAUUGUCGGUCGACGUGUUGAUAAAGACGAAUAAUGAUUUGUUUUUUCGGCAUUACAUCUUUCGAUCUACGAUUUUCCAUUAGAUAUUGUUGCAAUGCCUAAUUUUUUAACAAGCGAAACUUUUUUAUACUUGUAGUUUAUUUCGCGUUUAUAAGUUAGUUUUGAUGUUGCGUUGAGUGUUUAUAAAAUUUAAUAAUGUUAUAUAAAUUAAUUUGUCGUGUUGCACGUAAUAAUUGGAGCAAUGUAUGUGUACGUUCAACGGAUCAACAGCAAUGGAUUGCAACUGCGGCACAUCAGUUGAAACUAUUGUGCUACUGCGGUAUCAGUGAAUAUAUUCGUUCCGCUGUAAUUUCAUCGUAACAUAAUAAAAUUCGCGAAUUUGUGAAUAACGUCGGGAGUGUCGUUUAAAAAGUCGCGCGAUUGUCGUAUUUAGGUAUGCGCGCGAGCAAUGCGUGCAUGAUUGUAUUGUGUUAAUUACUUUUUCGCGAUUGUGUUAAUUAUUUUUUCGCGAUCGCGUGUGAGUGUCAUGAAGAAGCAGGAUUAUUGGAGAGGAAGAGGAGAGCUAGCAGGAGAUCAUGAGGCAACAUCGCAGCAACAUGGCGAUCGAUUUGUGAACAACUCCGCUGUUGCGCAUCGUGCCGAUGAUGUACCAUGCUUCCUGAUUUCUGCUGCCCUCUAUUACGUUACAGGAUCACUAAUGCAUUCCAUGGUCAUCGCCGAGGGUGCUGUAGUCGCUUUUAUGGUGUGGAAAAAUGAAACGCACGUCCCUCUCUUUCGCGACGGGGAAAUACAAAAAGGCGAUUCCGCGGACCGGCGAACGAGUUCUCCUUCUCGUUGUAUCUGGGGAACCUGAAGAAACUCUACGGAAAAAGGAACACGAACGCAGGGGGGGAGGAAGGGCGAAAAAGCGUCGGGCGAAUAAGCGGUAGAAGAAAAGGAAGAAAAGGAAGACGAAGUGGAAGAAGUGGAGGGAAGAAGAGGACGCGGGAGCGAAGAAGACGCGCGCGGGAGGCGGACGGAGGGGAGGGAAGCAUGGUCGGACGUUCGUUAAAUAUACGAGUGUAUUGAAAUUCCGCCUCGAGACGGAGCGCGAUGGGACCCGCUCGUUGUGGAAGGACAAGAUCGCAUGACGGCUCGAGGGCUUGGGAGCCACCCCGCUGUUUUGAAUACGAUCCUUCGUCCGUAAGUCCUCCACCUUGGUGUUGCCGCGGUGUGUAUAAGCGAGCCGCCCGUAUAUACGGAUACCAAGCAGGACGCCAAGCAGGAGGAUCGUCCUGGCUCGAAGACGACAACGACCCGACGCGACUCUCAGAGAUGGAGAGGGCGGUUCCGCAAAGAGGUGGACAGAAGGAAAGGGACGGAAAAUUUCGGCUGCCGCGCAUUCCUCGAUAUCACAGCCGUGUCUCGUUAACUUCUGGCACCGACGACGCCGGGUGAACUGCCGACUCGGCGCUUUCGCCGGAUGACGCCUGGCAGGAAGCAUCGAUGGCAGCAAAAAUAAUUGGUACCUUCCCCGAUUCUCAACGGUGCCGCGUAACAAGGUCCAUUUCCAUGGAAUAACCAUCAGCGGUAAUUGGCACCUACAGCAACACCGCGAUGCUCUCUGGUCCUCCACCCGCCCUAUCAUAUUUCAGAGCGGGCGGUGCGCCGAGACAGAAAGAGAUGCGGGGAGGAAACUCUCGGUCCGAGGGAUGCGUGCGGAUCGCAAAUGUGUGUUUUAUACAGCGACGGCACCCUUUCGCUUUUCAGCCGCGUCCGGAGAAACGACUACGGGGAUGGCGGCGGAUAACAAAGCGGUGCCAUCGACAGCUCGCUAACAACCCUCCGCCCCAUCUCAUCCGCCAAGAUCUCCGAGCUAUAAAACGUCGGUCAUACGAGGAGUGGCCCGCCGAUUUUGAAACGACGAUGUCGCCCAUUUCAACGAUCUUGACAAGAGUUUACGUUCUUCUGCAGAUUACCCUUCCGUUAAGCGCCAGUGGGGGCGUUUCCUCACUGUCACGCGAUUCUUCAACGAGAUCUGUUACACAGCCCCCGAUAUUCAAUUGUACAUCAUGCUAUCAGUCUAAUAAAAUUCAAUGUAUCGUGACAGUUGUGUCUUCCAGCUAUUUUUCUUGAAAAAAAAAAUCGAGGAUCGAUUUGAAGGAAUUUCAGGUAUGGAAACACUCGCGACAAAAUGCGAGACGCGUGUGAUGCUCGAAUAAAAUUAUAAUCUCUUCGGUAUCGAAUUAUUAUUACCCGUUCAUAUUUUUUUUU
rnacentral:misc_RNA from 1 species